rnacentral:rRNA from 1 species
AACGAACGCUGGCGGCAGGCCUAACACAUGCAAGUCGAGCGGGGACUUCGGUCCUAGCGGCGGACGGGUGAGUAACGCGUGGGAACGUGCCCUUUGCUUCGGAAUAGCCCCUGGAAACGGGGAGUAAUACCGGAUGUGCUCGAGAGAGGAAAGAUUUUUCGGCAAAGGAUCGGCCCGCGUUGGAUUAGGUAGUUGGUGGGGUAAUGGCCUACCAAGCCGACGAUCCAUAGCUGGUUUGAGAGGAUGAUCAGCCACACUGGGACUGAGACACGGCCCAGACUCCUACGGGAGGCAGCAGUGGGGGAAUCUUAGACAAUGGGCGCAAGACCUGAUCUAGCCAUGCCGCGUGAGCGAUGAAGGCCUAGGUUGUAAAG